AUUGAACGCUGGCGGCAGGCUUAACACAUGCAAGUCGAGCGGAGAUGAGGUGCUUGCACCUUAUCUUAGCGGCGGACGGGUGAGUAAUGCUUAGGAAUCUGCCUAUUAGCGGGGGACAACAUUCCGAAAGGAAUGCUAAUACCGCAUACGUCCUACGGGAGAAAGCAGGGGAUCUUCGGACCUUGCGCUAAUAGAUGAGCCUAAGUCGGAUUAGCUAGUUGGUGGGGUAAAGGCCUACCAAGGCGACGAGCUGUAGCGGGUCUGAGAGGAUGAUCCGCCACACUGGGACUGAGACACGGCCCAGACUCCUACGGGAGGCAGCAGUGGGGAAUAUUGGACAAUGGGGGGAACCCUGAUCCAGCCAUGCCGCGUGUGUGAAGAAGGCCUUAUGGUUGUAAAGCACUUUAAGCGAGGAGGAGGCUACUGAGACUAAUACUCUUGGAUAGUGGACGUUACUCGCAGAAUAAGCACCGGCUAACUCUGUGCCAGCCGCCGCCGUAAAAC
rnacentral:rRNA from 1 species